ACUGUAUGUAUACUUUGUCCGUGCGGUGGCAGGGUGGCACUACAACAAACUGGGUGGCACUACAAGUUUGUAGUUUGUAAGUAAAACCGGUAUGUGGUAAUCGAUAAGAGAAAUCGAUAUGUCUACACCUCACGAUUUCGAUAGUCGAACAAUCAGCUGAUUGCUCUUCCAAAUUCCAAAACAAUCUAAAUUUCAAUUUUUAGGUUAUGAUUUGAUGACAAAUUUUCAACUAGUUUAUUACACUUAUUGAAUGUGCCAUAAUAUUUUAAAAACUCAUUUAGAAUCUACUGCUAUUUUCAAUCCUUGCACUUUAAAAAUAUUGUUCUGCACAGGUGGGAAGUAUGGGCAAACCCAGUCCUGAAGCUGUGAUUACCAGCACUGUUCUUUUGUUCACAUUUGCUCUGGGGUUUGCAGUUGGCUACAAAGCAAAAGAAUGGCGCAUUUGGUGGACAAAAAGGCGAAGAGAUGCACUUGCCAGCAAGCUUCACAAAGCUCAAAAACAACUAGAAAUCUUGACAGCUCCUUAACUGAAUAGCAGCCAUAUGAUAAUCAUUUUACAAAAAUUUCCACAAUUUCAAAAUGUUGUUUAUUUCUAUGAAAUUUAUUAGUACAAUUUUUUAUUGAAUUAAGUUGUUUUGUAAAGACAAAUGUAAAUUUGAAGCGUCUGAAAUAUGCCGAGUCAUGUAUUAUUUGAAUAAAUACUUGAAUACUCUAACUAA
rnacentral:lncRNA from 1 species